rnacentral:rRNA from 1 species
CCUACGGGUUGCAGCAGUGGGGAAUAUUGCACAAUGGGCGCAAGCCUGAUGCAGCCAUGCCGCGUGUAUGAAGAAGGCCUUCGGGUUGUAAAGUACUUUCAGCGGGGAGGGAGGCGAUAAGGUUAAUAACCUUGUCGAUUGACGUUACCCGCAGAAGAAGCACCGGCUAACUCCGUGCCAGCAGCCGCGGUAAUACGGAGGGUGCAAGCGUUAAUCGGAAUUACUGGGCGUAAAGCGCACGCAGGCGGUCUGUCAAGUCGGAUGUGAAAUCCCCGGGCUAAACCUGGAACUGCAUUCGAAACUGGCAGGCUAGAGUCUUGUAGAGGGGGGUAGAAUUCCAGGUGUAGCGGUGAAAUGCGUAGAGAUCUGGAGGAAUACCGGUGGCGAAGGCGGCCCCCUGGACAAAGACUGACGCUCAGGUGCGAAAGCGUGGGGAGCAAACAGGAUUAGAUACCUCGUAGUC